AAUAAAUUAUGCCCUCAUGUGUCUUUGUGGAAACUCCACAGACAGCUCUCUCUGCUUUAUGCUGUUUUUAGUGGAGAGGUAUGGCACCAGAAAUAAACACUCAAAUAUGUAUACAAUCAUAAAUUAUGACAAGCUUCUCAAAGAAAAAAAUCCCAAAUUUCUAAUUAAUGAACUUUUAGAUGAUAAGAAGUAUCAUUUAAAGUCACCAAAUUGUGAUAAUAUAUAAUUAUAUACCAUAUAUAUUUCCCAAAUAUAUGCACAUAUAUUUUUUAAAACAGAAGUCCUGAACGUCAUUAAUUUUCCACGAAUACCCACCACCACGACCCGCAUGGAACGUUCGCUGAGGUCAGAGGGCAGCCGACCUCGGGGCUGGGCAGCCUGAAGUGUCUCAGAAGCUGCUUCUGUUUCUCCAGGUCCUUCCACACCUCCUGGAGCACGUAGACCAGGGGACACAGGACUGAUGCAGAUGACGUCAUCUGUGCAGGCUGCCCCGACAGCGCUGGCACUGGGUCCAGAGCACGAGAAGCGAUGCUCUGGGGCGUUCAGGCGCGACACCUCUCUCUGACACGGCCCUGACUCCCGGGCUGGCAGAAUUUGCACAGGGCUCCCUGGUUGCCCAGGAGGACAGUGCGGCAGCAGACGCAGCAAUUGUGGCAUUUGGGGAAGGUCAGGAGGCCGCUUACCUUGCCAAUCAGGGCCGUCUUGCGAAGCCUCUGGUCCCCACACGGCCCUGGCCCAGCAAGGGCUGGAAGCCGUCAGGAGCCACCUGGCAGUGUCCUGGAUGUCCCUGGCAGGCUGCUCUCCAGCACGACCCCGAGGAGUCCACACCCUUGACGGCACCAGUGAUCACAUAAAGAACAUAGUUGCCCAGACUGGUGCCGUCCCCGGGUCCCCCUUCCUCAUCCUCCAGGGCCAGCUCCGUGGGGGCCUGCUUACCCUGCUGACCCUGGGCAGCUGGGAGAUGGCCCUGCGAUUGCACAGCAGUUAUCAUUGUAAAAAUGAUGUAAUUUUUUGCAAAUAUUGGCUGGCAACUUUAAGAGGUUAGAAGAUUCAUACUUCCUGAC
rnacentral:lncRNA from 1 species